rnacentral:rRNA from 1 species
UAAGCGGAGGAAAAGAAACUAACAAGGAUUCCCCUAGUAACUGCGAGUGAAGCGGGAAAAGCUCAAAUUUAAAAUCUGGUGGUCUUUGGCCAUCCGAGUUGUAAUCUAGAGAAGUGUUAUCCGCGCUGGACCGUGUACAAGUCCCCUGGAAUGGGGCGUCAUAGAGGGUGAGAAUCCCGUCUUUGACACGGACUACCAGGGCUUUGUGAUGCACUCUCAAAGAGUCGAGUUGUUUGGGAAUGCAGCUCAAAAUGGGUGGUAAAUUCCAUCUAAAGCUAAAUAUUGGCGAGAGACCGAUAGCGAACAAGUACCGUGAGGGAAAGAUGAAAAGAACUUUGGAAAGAGAGUUAAACAGUACGUGAAAUUGUUGAAAGGGAAACGCUUGAAGUCAGUCGCGUCUGCCAGGGAUCAACCUUACUUUUGUGAGGCGUACUUCCUGGUUGAUGGGUCAGCAUCAGUUUUGGUCGCUGGAUAAAGGUCAGAGAAAUGUGGCACCUUCGGGUGUGUUAUAGUCUUUGAUCAGAUACAGUGGCUGGGACUGAGGAACUCAGCGCCGCAAGGCUGUCUUAGGAUGCUGGCAAAAUGGCUUUAAUCGACCCGUCUUGAAACACGGACCAAGGAGUCUAACAUGCCUGCGAG